rnacentral:rRNA from 1 species
UAGGGAAUCUUCGGCAAUGGACGGAAGUCUGACCGAGCAACGCCGCGUGAGUGAAGAAGGUUUUCGGAUCGUAAAGCUCUGUUGUUAGAGAAGAACGUUGGUAGGAGUGGAAAAUCUACCAAGUGACGGUAACUAACCAGAAAGGGACGGCUAACUACGUGCCAGCAGCCGCGGUAAUACGUAGGUCCCGAGCGUUGUCCGGAUUUAUUGGGCGUAACGCGAGCGCAGGAGGUUCUUUAAGUCUGAAGUUAAAGGCAGUGGCUUAACCAUUGUACGCUUUGGAAACUGGAGGACUUGAGUGCAGGAGAGGAGAGUGGAAUUCCAUGUGUAGCAGUGAAAUGCGUAGAUAUAUGGAGGAACACCGGUGGCGAAAGCGGCUAUCUGGUCUGUAACUGACGAUGAGGAACGAAAGCGUGGGGAGCAAACAGG